rnacentral:rRNA from 1 species
UACGUAGGGUGCAAGCGUUAAUCGGAAUUACUGGGCGUAAAGCGUGCGCAGGCGGUUAUGUAAGACAGUUGUGAAAUCCCCGGGCUCAACCUGGGAACUGCGUUUGAAACUACAAGGCUAGAGUGUAGCAGAGGGGGGUAGAAUCCCACGUGUAGCAGUGAAAUGCGUAGAGAUGUGGAGGAAUACCAAUGGCGAAGGCAGCCCCCUGGGUUAACACUGACGCUCAUGCACGAAAGCGUGGGGAGCAAACAGG